rnacentral:misc_RNA from 1 species
GAUGAAGAACGUAGUGAAAUGCGAUAAGUAAUGUGAAUUGCAGAAUUCAGUGAAUCAUCGAAUCUUUGAACGCAUCUUGCGCUCCUUGGUAUUCCGAGGAGCAUGCCUGUUUGAGUGUCAUUUAACUUCUCAACCACAUUGGAUAUUUUUUUUCCGAUGCCGGCUUGGAUGUGGGGGUUGUUUGCAGGCUUUUUGUAACAAAAAAGGUCGGCUCCCCUGAAAUGUAUUAGUGGUAUCUGAGGCUAUUACUAUUAGGUGUGAUAAUUAUCUAUGCCUUUUGGGUAUGCCGCAUGAACAGAUUAUGCUGCUUCUAACGAAAACUAUUUUGAUGAAUUUGACCUCAAAUCAGGUAGGACUACCCGCUGAACUUAAGCAUAUCAAUAAGCGGAGGA